rnacentral:rRNA from 1 species
UGGGCAACCUGCCCCCGACCCUGGGAUAACCCCGGGAAAACCGGAGCUAAAUACCGGAUACUCUCCUCCGACCACAUGGUCAGAAGAGGAAAGGUCCGCCGGUCGGGGAUGGGCCCGCGGCCUAUCAGCUUGUUGGUGGGGUAACGGCCUACCAAGGCAUCGACGGGUAGCUGGUCUGAGAGGACGACCAGCCACACUGGGACUGAGACACGGCCCAGACUCCUACGGGAGGCA